UCCUGGCUCAGGACGAACGCUGGCGGCGUGCUUAACACAUGCAAGUCGAACGCUGAAGCUCAGGCUUUUGUUGGGUGGAUGAGUGGCGAACGGGUGAGUAACACGUGAGUAACCUGCCCCCUUCUUUGGGAUAACGCCCGGAAACGGGUGCUAAUACUGGAUAUUCACUGGUCUUCGCAUGGGGGUUGGUGGAAAGGGUUUUUCUGGUGGGGGAUGGGCUCGCGGCCUAUCAGCUUGUUGGUGGGGUGAUGGCCUACCAAGGCUUUGACGGGUAGCCGGCCUGAGAGGGUGACCGGUCACAUUGGGACUGAGAUACGGCCCAGACUCCUACGGGAGGCAGCAGUGGGGAAUAUUGCACAAUGGGCGCAAGCCUGAUGCAGCGACGCCGCGUGAGGGAUGGAGGCCUUCGGGUUGUGAACCUCUUUCGCUCAUGGUCAAGCCGCAACAAUGGUUGUGGUGAGGGUAGUGGGUAAAGAAGCGCCGGCUAACUACGUGCCAGCAGC
rnacentral:rRNA from 1 species